rnacentral:rRNA from 1 species
GGAAAGGUGAAAAGAACCCCGAACAGGGGAGUGAAAUAGAACCUGAAACCAUACGCUUACAACCGGUCGGAGCAGCUUCGUGCUGUGACGGCGUGCCUAUUGAAUAAUGAGCCUACGAGUUACUAAUCACUGGCGAGGUUAAGUGCACGGAUGCACGGAGCCGAAGCGAAAGCGAGUCUUAAUAGGGCGUUUAGUCAGUGGUUGUAGACGCGAAACCUUGCGAUCUACCCUUGAGCAGGUUGAAGGUUGGGUAAAACCAACUGGAGGACCGAACGAAUAAGCGUUGAAAAGCUUCUCGAUGACUUGAGGGUAGGGGUGAAAGGCUAAUCAAGCUGGGAAAUAGCUCGUACUCCCCGAAAUGCCUUUAGGGGCAGCGUUGUAAUAAAGAGUCUACUGGAGGUAGAGCUACUGAUUGGAUGCGGGGGCUUCACCGCCUACCAAAUCCUGACAAACUCCGAAUGCCAGUAGUAUGAUUUACAGCAGUGAGCGACCGGGUGCUAAUGUCCGGUCACAAAAGAGGAACAACUCAGACCAGCAACUAAGGUCCCCAAGAGUAUACUAAGUUGAUCUAACGAUGUUUUGUUGCAGAGACAGCUAGGAUGUUAGCUUGGAAGCAGCUAUUCAUUCAAAGAGUGCGUAACAGCUCACUAGUCGAGCGACAGAGCGUGGAUAAUAAACGGGCAUCAAGCAUAUCACCGAAGUUCUGGGCGCGAGAGCGCGGUAGGGGAGCAUUCCAUUCAGCGUCGAAGCAGUUUCGUGAGGAAUUGUGGAGCGUAUGGAAAAGCAAAUGUAGGCAUGAGUAACGAUAAUGCGGGAGAGUAACCCGCACACCGCAAGACCAAGGUUUCCUGAUCAACGCUAAUCGGAUCAGGGUUAGUCGGGUCCUAAGGGUAAGCCGAACGGCGAUCUCGAUGGAUAAUCGGUUAAUAUUCCGAUACUAACAUAUACCUCGAUGGAGAGACGAAGGAACGUAAGUGCCGCCACCUGACGGAAUAGGUGGUUAAAGGAUUUAGGUAUAGGGACGGAUUAAGAGUCGGUUCCUGCUGAAUUCCGACAGUACAGAGAGCCUACGGGCAAUUUGAUAGUGCACCCAAGUCGACUUCCGAGAAAAUCUUCUAAGGUUAGGUAUAUGUCACCCGUACCGUAAACCGACACAGGUGGUCGAGGAGAGUAUCCUAAGGUGCUCGAGUGAAUCACGGUUAAGGAACUAGGCAAAUUAACCCCGUAACUUCGGGAAAAGGGGUCCCUAUGAAAGUAGGGCGCAGCGAAGAGGUCCAGGCGACUGUUUAUCAAAAACACAGGGCUCUGCAAAUUCGAAAGAAGACGUAUAGGGCCUGACACCUGCCCGGUGCUGGAAGGUUAAGAGGGGAUGUCAUCGCAAGAGAAGCAUUGAAUCGAAGCCCCAGUAAACGGCGGCCGUAACUAUAACGGUCCUAAGGUAGCGAAAUUCCUUGUCGGGUAAGUUCCGACCUGCACGAAUGGUGUAACGAUCUGGACACUGUCUCAACCGUGAGCUCGGUGAAAUUGUAGUCCCGGUGAUGAUGCCGGGUACCCGCAACGGGACGAAAAGACCCCGUGAACCUUUACUAUAGCUUAACGCUGAAUUUGGGUACACAAUGUGUAGGAUAGGCCGGAGGCUUUGAAGCGGGCACGCCAGUGUUCGUGGAGCCGACGUUGAAAUACGGCCCUUUGUGUAUUUGAGUUCUAACCCUGCGAAGGGGACACCGUUUGGUGGGUAGUUUGACUGGGGUGGUCGCCUCCAAAAGCGUAACGGAGGCUUCCCAAGGUACCCUCAGCACGAAUGGUAACCGUGCGCGGAGUGCAAUAGCAUAAGGGUGCUUGACUGUGAGACAUACAAGUCGACCAGGUACGAAAGUAGGGUAUAGUGAUCCGGUGGUUCUGCGUGGACUGGCCAUCGCUCAAAGGAUAAAAGGUACUCCGGGGAUAACAGGCUGAUCGCCGCCAAGAGCUCAUAUCGACGCGGCGGUUUGGCACCUCGAUGUCGGCUCGUCACAUCCUGGGGCUGGAGAAGGUCCCAAGGGUU